rnacentral:misc_RNA from 1 species
AGAGAAUGAAAAGGUGCUAAAAUGUAUGAGCCAAGAUAGUUUUUUACCCAAAAAAAAGUCUCCUUUACUGCAUUUCAUAUAAAAGAGGUAAAAAAAAAACUAAGAAUUCUUAGUCGGAAAUGCAAUGGCAGUUCCGACUGUUACAUGACGGUCAGUAACGGCCGUUACCUUUAAGUAACGGCAGUAACGGCCUUUACAGUUACAAAU